rnacentral:rRNA from 1 species
AUGAACGCGGGGGGGGGGGGGACCACAUGCAAGUCGAACGGAAAGGCCCAAGCUUGCUUGGGUACUCGAGUGGCGAACGGGUGAGUAACACGUGGGUGAUCUGCCCUGCACUUCGGGAUAAGCCUGGGAAACUGGGUCUAAUACCGGAUAGGACGAUGGUUUGGAUGCCAUUGUGGAAAGUUUUUUCGGUGUGGGAUGAGCUCGCGGCCUAUCAGCUUGUUGGUGGGGUAAUGGCCUACCAAGGCGUCGACGGGUAGCCGGCCUGAGAGGGUGUACGGCCACAUUGGGGCUGAGAGACGGCCCAGACUCCUACGGGAGGCAGCAGUGGGGAAUAUUGCACAAUGGGCGCAAGCCUGAUGCAGCGACGCCGCGUGGGGGAUGACGGCCUUCGGGUUGUAAACUCCUUUCGCUAGGGACGAAGCGUUUUUGUGACGGUACCGGGAGAAGAAGCACCGGCUAACUACGUG